rnacentral:tRNA from 1 species
UAGCAGUUAGCUCAGUUGGUAGAGCAUCAGACUUGUAAUCUGAAGGUCGUGGGUUCAAUUCCCACACCUGUCAA